UGCUUUACACAUGCAAGUCGAACGGCAGCGCAGGGAGCUUGCUCCCGGGCGGCGAGUGGCGAACGGGUGAGUAAUGUAUCGGAACGUGCCCAGUAGCGGGGGAUAACUACGCGAAAGCGUGGCUAAUACCGCAUACGCCCUACGGGGGAAAGAGGGGGAUCGCAAGACCUCUCACUAUUGGAGCGGCUGAUAUCGGAUUAGCUGGUUGGUGGGGUAAAGGCCCACCAAGGCGACGAUCCGUAGCUGGCUUGAGAGGACGACCAGCCACACUGGGACUGAGACACGGCCCAGACUCCUACGGGAGGCAGCAGUGGGGAAUUUUGGACAAUGGGGGCAACCCUGAUCCAGCCAUCCCGCGUGUGCGAUGAAGGCCUUCGGGUUGUAAAGCAC
rnacentral:rRNA from 1 species